rnacentral:tRNA from 1 species
GGACGUGUGCCCGAAGACUAGGGGUUACUUUGAUAGAGUGAACGAUAGAGGUUCAAGUCCUCUCACUUCCU